rnacentral:rRNA from 1 species
UACGUAGGGUCCGAGCGUUGUCCGGAAUUAUUGGGCGUAAAGAGCUCGUAGGCGGUCUGUUGCGUCGGUUGUGAAAACCUGGGGCUCAACUCCAGGCCUGCAAUCGAUACGGGCAGACUAGAGUUCGGUAGGGGAGACUGGAAUUCCUGGUGUAGCGGUGAAAUGCGCAGAUAUCAGGAGGAACACCGGUGGCGAAGGCGGGUCUCUGGGACGGUACUGACGCUGAGACGCGAAAGCGUGGGGAGCGAACAGG